rnacentral:rRNA from 1 species
CGGCGGACGGGUGAGUAACACGUGGAUAACCUACCUAUAAGACUGGGAUAACUUCGGGAAACCGGAGCUAAUACCGGAUAAUAUAUUGAACCGCAUGGUUCAAUAGUGAAAGACGGUUUUGCUGUCACUUAUAGAUGGAUCCGCGCCGCAUUAGCUAGUUGGUAAGGUAACGGCUUACCAAGGCGACGAUGCGUAGCCGACCUGAGAGGGUGAUCGGCCACACUGAACUGAGACACGGUCCAG